rnacentral:rRNA from 1 species
CAGUAGCCGCGGUAAUACGAGGGGGGCAAGCGUUGUUCGGAAUUAUUGGGCGUAAAGGGUACGUAGGCGGUUUGACAAGUCUUAUGUGAAAUCUCUGGGCUCAACCCAGAGUCUGCAUGGGAAACUGUCGAGCUUGAGUAUGGGAGAGGUGAGUGGAAAUUCCGGUGUAGCGGUGAAAUGCGUAGAUAUCGGAAGGAACACCUGUGGCGAAAGCGGCUCACUGGACCAUUACUGACGCUGAUGCACGAAAGCUAGGGGAGCAAACAGGAUUAGAUACCCCGGUAGUCCCUGUCUCUUAUAC